AAUGUGCCUUGGGAAGGGGUUUGUGUCGAGGUUCGCUCGUGCAGCGGUGUUUCUUGUGUGCCGUAAGAAUAGGGGUGGACGGGUUGUUGGAGCAGCUCGGCUCUUGGUGGCCCAGAGAAGCUGUGGCUGCCCCGUCACUGGAAGUGUCCAAGGCCAGGUUGGACGGGGCUUGGGAGAGUGGAAGUGUCCCUGCCCAUGGCAGGGGAGUGGAACGAAAUGAGGUUUAAGAUUCUUUUCCACCCAAACCAUCCUGUGAUUAUUUUCUGUAAUUUCUCUUUGCUAUAUAUGAAUUUUCUCUUUUAUUCUUUACUGAAGCCAGCAACAGGGUUUUAAGCAGAUUUCCUUAGCCGUCACUGUUUUCGUUAAAUAAUAAUACUUAAAUAUAAAACCAUGACACACUGCGUAUGUUCCGUGGGUGUUUUAGGAAGAAAUCUUUCUCUGUGAGGGUGGUGAGGCUCUGGCACAGGUUUUCCAGAGAAGCUGUGGCUGCCCCUGGAUCCCUGGAAGUGUCCAAGGCCAGCCUGGACAGAGCUUGGAGCAACCUGGGACAGUGUAAAGUGUCCCUGUUCAUAGCAGGGGAUGAAAUGAAAUGAGCUUUAAGGUCCCUUCCAACCCAAAUAAUUUUGUGAUUCUGUUUGCAAAGUGCUUUUAAGUUCUUAAUAAUUCCUCCUAUUAUUUUUCUCCUUUGAGUAGCUGUGUGCUGUCAGGUAAGCAAACUAGCAGCCCAGAAUGAAAGAAUUUACUUUCUGACAGUCCUCCUAGGAACUGAAGGUGUUCCAAGAUGACUCUCAGUGCUGUUCAGGAGGAGUUUUAGUGGCACUGAGAUAUUCUUAACACAUGUAUUGGAUAGCUCACAUAUGAGGUAUUUAUUGAACAAGGUGUUGUUUACACGUAUCUUUGCUGCAGGCUCCUAUGGACCCUAAGAAAGUAUGAGAACUUAGGGCUUAAAAUAAAUACUUAACCACCUUAAGUGCAUAAGUGCUGGUGGAAGAAUUAUAAAUGGAUGAUGGCAUAAGCCCAGUGGUCAAGAGGAUAAUAAAAUCGUGCAUGUUAUAGAUACUUAGUAAAAAGCUGAAGGUAGUGGUGAAAUAAAAGGUAGCAGGAAGAAUGUAAUUUCUGAUGUAGAGAAAAUGGACUCAGAGGAGGGGUGCAGAGGUGGGGUUUGUGCAAAUACAGGAGUGCCAGAGAUGGCACCAACAGUUGCACAUUGCCUGGAUUAAAGUGGCAGCUUCAGGUUGUGUGUUGAGAAAACAAAAGACACUCCAAGCUCAUUUUAUGCUGAGUAACUGCACAGCUGGAAAACAACAACCCAGAGGAAGUUAACAGGCACAGAGGAUGCUGGAGAGAUGGAAAGCAUACAGGAAAUAUAUUUACAGAGCUGCACAUCCAGCUGCCAAACGCUGCUUUUGAGGUGGAAUAACCUCGAUGGAAUCACCCCACGCUUACUUAUCACCUCUCACUACAUCCCAGGAGAAAGGGUGACAUCAUUCAUCACUAAACCCCUCAAAAUACACAACAAAAAGUGGG